GGGGGGGGGGGAGGCGGGGGCGGGGCGGGGAGGCGGGGACCCGCUCGGCGGGGGAGUCACGAGGCCGGCGCUCGCGGGGGCAGCUCGCCCGCCCGGCGGCGGGGCCCCUGUGCAGGUGUCUGACCGCCGCUGGAGCUCUACGGGGCGAUUAGAAAUCCAGCUCACGGGGUUUGCGAUCGGGCAAUGUUGGGAGAGAUGAUGUUGGGAAAAAGCUAAUUCCUAGCGGAGAAUCCUGCCUCGGCGGGCGCUUCUUCUUUCUCCCCUCCUUCGCCCUGCUUGCCGUCCCUUGGAGAAGCCUAGAACAGCUGCCUUGCCUUCGUCAGUUUCCUGUGUCUGCCCAGGACUGGGGAUUCCAUAAGGUUUUCUCUGGGUGGUGUCCUUGGGGUCGCUCUGCUGAGCUAGCUUGGCUGUGGAGGCAGAGCAGACAGAUGAGGGGCCCACCCAGGCCCGGGAGUUUCCUCGCUCGGGUUUCUUCGUCUAGUUAGAGGCAUCUCCCAACUAUCUCCUUGGAACCCAGCUGCCUGCUACCACCAGAGGGAACGGGUCCAACGGCCCUUCCUCUGAGCCCCUCCCCCUGCCUUGAGAUGGGGGAAAAAAUAAAAAAAUAAAAGAUCUUGGUGAUUGA